rnacentral:lncRNA from 1 species
UUUAUCAUACAUUAAUCAUAUGUCAACAACUCAUUCAAACAAUCAAUGAACAAUUAUUUGAUAUCACAAUGAUAUAAUUCCCGCUUCACCUGAAGGUCCAAAAGUACAGUCUUCUCUACCGCUUUCUUUACAAAAUCAAUUAUAUUCAAUGUUCCUAGAAAAAAUGGAAGUGAUUACACAAACCUAUCGGUUACUCAUGUUUGCAUGCCUUGUCCUCUUUACCGCGAGAGUACUCCACCAAACAUCGAGCUUCACAAUAACCCCAAUUAUCAUCCUCAUUGAGUUUAUCAUCUUCCUCGACAACAAUUGUGUAGAUCUUCAAGUGCCAGACUUUAAAAAUGACAAUGAACCUGAGCAUUGAUGGAAAGGUAACAAUUUUACACGAUCACACUCUAGCCUUGGGCCACAACUUCACUUUCUUCCCAUGCCACCUUCCUUGGUGUCUCCCUCCUUUCUCCCAGCUUUGUCACCUCCCUCCAUCCUUCCUGAUCCUCCCUUCUUUCACCUCCCUGUGUUGCAUGUCCACCACUCUUGCAGCUCUACUGGCACAAUCAGCAAAAGACAUGUCUUGAACUUGAUUCCAACAAAAAAAAAUCUGUUGGGUUGAAUAAAAAAUUAAACAUUAUUUUUACCCUAUAUUUGAACAGGAAGAAAAGGAAGUAGAUUCAAUUCACACAUAUGAGUGGGGGUUGCAACUGCACACAGUACCUAUGCAAAUGCCUAAUGUGAACAACUAUCAUUGUUCAAACACACUUAUCAGUUACUCUUUGUACCUUUGCAUUUACUCCUCAAUCACCCUGCAACAAGACAUGACAUCAUCUUCAUUCACCUCACGUUAAUAUUUAGGUCAGAAAACAUGAAGAACUUGAGACUUGGGAGUUGAUGGAAUCCAUUGUCUUGCUCUACAAACUUUAUUAUUUCACCAUAUUUUCUUCUACAUGUGCUCUUUCAAGAAGGCACAUGAAAUAAGAGCCGCAACGGAUG